rnacentral:rRNA from 1 species
UCCAGACUCCUACGGGAGGCAGCAGUGAGGAAUAUUGGUCAAUGGGCGGGAGCCUGAACCAGCCAAGCCGCGUGAAGGACGAAGGUGCCAAGCAUUGUAAACUUCUUUUGUCAAGGGACAAAAUCAGGCUCGAGAGCCUGACCGAGGGUACUUGAAGAAAAAGCAUCGGCUAACUCCGUGCCAGCAGCCGCGGUAAUACGGAGGAUGCGAGCGCUAUCCGGAUUUAUUGGGUUUAAAGGGUGCGUAGGCGGCCUGUAAAGGCGGGGAGAAAAGCCCGGGGCUCACCCCCGGCGAGCCGUUGAAACUGGCUGUCUUGAGAUGUCGAGAGGUAUGCGGAAUGCGCAGUGUAGCGGUGAAAUGCUUAGAUAUUGCGCAGAACUCCGAUUGCGAAGGCAGCAUACCGGCGGCGAUCUGACGCUGAGGCACGAAAGCGUGGGUAUCGAACAGGAUUAGAUACCCGAGUA